rnacentral:rRNA from 1 species
AACGUAGGAGACAAACGUUAUCCGGAGUUACUGGGCGUAAAGGGCGUGCAGGCGGUCUGUUAAGUUCGGCGUGAAAGCGCCUGGCUAAACCGGGCGAGGUCGUCGGAGACUGGCAGACUAGAGGGUGAUAGAGGCGGGUGGAAGUCCGGGUGUAGUGGUGAAAUGCGUAGAGAUCCGGAGGAACACCAGUGGCGAAGGCGACCCGCUGGGUCACACCUGACGCUGAGACGCGACAGCAUGGGGAGCGAACGGG